ensembl:lncRNA
AGGGGAGGGAGAGGCAGCAGCUCCAUAUUAAUGGGUUCCUUAAAGAGCAGCCUGGCACAGGUGGGAAAGUGUCAGUACAUCUAAUUGUUGCUCAUAGGUAAACAGCUCCAGAUCUCUGAUGAACCUUUCUACCCUUUCCUGAAACUCUUCUAUUCCAAGACCAACUUUUUGAGAUGAUAGCACUGAUGUGCAAGCACGCCACAAGUUCUACAAGGCUAUUGUGUCUGGAGCUAAGAUCCAGGUCUCAUCCCAAGGACUACUCAAGAAUCACAGUGGUGGGAAUUAAGCUCAGGGUGUUCCUUAUCCCAUCACAGCUGGAUGAGUUCUAGCUAUUUACCAAAUGGAAAGGACAAGCAGCUUAAGGAAUUCAGAGCUCCAACACUCCAAUAAGAAAAUUGCAUCUCUGUGCAUGUGCUGAAGCAGCAGGGGUGAGCUGGCCAUAGCAGUUAACCUUCACUCUACAUUCUGGAUCACAGUUAGGUGGGAGCAGAAAAUAACCACUCUCUUCUGAUUUUGCAGAGCACAUUCAAGUAUUCUGGUUGCAGUAUUCCUUCAGCCACUCAUCUCUAGAGAAUAUACCAUAGAAAUAGAGAAAUAUUUUUAUCUUUUACAUUUUAUGAGGCAUGAUGUGUGGGCCACUGUUUGAGGCAGAAUAAUGCUCCAAUGUCCAUAUGGCCUGAAAAGAUGUAGCCAUGAAUACCUCUGUGUAUAAGAAGGGUUAUAGCACCUGGAUACAGCAAAAUUCUCCCACUGUUAGUGUUCCCUGGGCACACAGCCAAAAUACAUCAGCCAUGUGCUGAGUGAAUAUUGAAACAUUCCCAGUACAUCCCACAGCAUCACCAGUAAUCUCAUAUCUGUGCUGUGUCGUGACAGUAAGUUUUUCAGUAUAGCUAACCCGACCUAUAAACAUUUCUACCAACUGAGAACACAGGUGUUGCAAUGAAAUAUUUGACAACCUUUGCAGCAAAUAAGUUGAUACUCUAAUUUCUUAUAAAAAUCUAUGGAGUGUCAGAAGAAGUUUUGGGAUCAUUUAAAUUUUAAUGUGUUUUGAAAAAAUGGAGUCAUUUCAAGGCACUAGAGGGCUUUCGGGCUUAUUACAUUAGACUGCAAAGACUAAUCAUCAGCACGUAAAACUAUUGUUAAUUCAGAAGUUCAUAAAAAAAGAAGAAAAUUUAAGGUUAAAAAUAUCACUACUGCACUGGAUGACAUUGUUCCACUGAAAGUAGGUCUCGUUAAAGAAACCUGUUAUAUUUUUGAUGGGAUUUGUCUGGUUGAUAAAGAAAUUCACUAUGGUAUAACCUACUUUGAUUUCACUAGAUCUAAACUAGAUGACUCCCAGAUUGGAGCUGCUGCCAUAGAAAGGAACAGAAAGACUCAUCCUACAUCAAUUAAAAACUGUUUCAGUACGUCAAAAAGCAAGGCAAGAGUUGGGUAUGUCUUGAUAACAGUGGAGCUUUACCUCCAGACUGCCUGGAAAAUCAAAUAUGGUUGGAUUGGAGGAAGAUUGCUAGCACUGACUUUCAGCCACAUAUCCAUGGCAUUGCUCUGUGCCACUUCACAAAGUUACAGCUGGAAAAGUGUAAGAGGUAAGAAAUGGACAUAGGGAUGUUAGUCUACACUUGGCUAAACAUUAGCCAGCAUUGUGCCCAGGUAACAAAGAAGGCCAGUGUCAUCCUGGCACGUGUAAGAAAUAGUGUGGCCAGCAGGAGCAGGGAGGUGGCUGUCCCCCUGUGCUCAUCUCUGGUAAAGCCUGAGUACUGUGUUCAACUUUAGGCCCCUCAUACAAAAAAACAAAAACAAACAAACAAAACAAAACAAAACAAAACAAACAAACAAACAAAAAAACCCACACUGAGGCCCUAGAGCAUAUCUAGAAAAGGGCAAUGAAGCUUGUGAGGGAUAUGGAGCACAAGUUUUAUGAGGAGCAGCUGAUGGAACUGGGAUUGUUUACUCUGGAGAAGAGGAGGCUCGGGAGAGACCCUCUUGCUCUCUACAACUAUCUGAAGGGAGGUUGUGGUGAGAUAGGGGUCAGCCUCUUCUCCUGGGUAGCGAGGAUAGUCCUAGAGGGACUGACCUCGAGUUGCACCAUGGAAGAUGCAGGCUAGAUGUUAGGAAAAAUUUCUUCGCCAAAAGAGUGCUCAGGCACUGGAACGGGCUGUCCAGGGAGGCAGUUGGGUCAUCAUCCCUGGAGCUGUUCAAGAAACAUUUAGAUGUCUUACUAAGGGACAAGGUUCAGACGAGAAAUAUUGGUGGAGGAAGGAUGGUUGGACUAGAUGUUCUUUGAGGUCUUUUUCAACCUUGGUGAUUCCAUGAUUCUAUGAUUUUUAAAUGCCUUCCAGAUUUUUGUUGAAUAGAACUGUCUGAAGAACACCUCUUUGGGUGUGUUAAGAUCAGAGUUCAGUCUUCGGGCAGCUCUCUCUAGUCUACAUUUAAAAUUUCUCUCUUAUAAACAAUAAUUGCCUUCAGAAUAAAUGAAUUUCCUGAAAUAGUAAUUUUGACCCAGAUCUUUUCAAUACAUCAUUGCACUUCAUUGAUGCAUGAUUGCAUGGUGGUCAUGCAGUGAGCUACAGAAAUGUGUUGCUAUUAUACAGUUACCCACAUUUACUUGAAAAGAUUUCCUCUGGAUUCUCCUUCUCUUGUUCUACUAGUUAUAUACAAGUAUAGGAGUACUAAAUCUUACUGCAUUGCCACUUAAGAUAGUCUGAGGAAAAUACAUCGACCCUGUAAAGAUUUUGCAGAUUAAAGCUAUCCUUCAAUAUCUAUGGUUCAUAGGUCCUUCCCUAGCAAACUAGCCUUGAGGGAAGACUGCUGAGCAUCCAGUAAUUUUUUACAAGCAAUUGACCCACUCUAAUAAGAUUAGUUCUUCAGAUAACCCAUGACUCCCUGAAAAUGACUGUACAAGUGUUUUUCUCCAAAGUUCCAUAUGCAGGCAGUAUCAAGAAUGUUUUCAGUGUCUGCUAGAAGGGUAUUUUUCAAGAGUGAUGGUGAGAGAGUAUUAAUGAAGAUAUUUUGAAGCCAACGUGAGUAAAAUCUGUAAUGCUCUAGUGAAGUACAUAAUUCUCUGAAAGUGAAUCCAAACAGCUAAGAAGUCUUCUUCUACACGGUGAUUAAUUCCCUCUGAUGCAGAACAAUAUCUAGAGAUUAUCUUCCACUCAACCUCUGCAUCUCCAGGUAAAGUGUGAAGAGUAGAUGGAGAUAUGGUUGGGCUAGAUGUUCUUAGUACUCUUUUCCAACAUUAAUCAUCCUAUGAUCCUGCAGUACUGUGUCACACUACUCAAAAAGGCUGGGGCUACAGUGACAGUCAUUGAUCUCUCCUUUCAUAAAAGCACAUUUUUUUUAAUCAAUCCACAUUUGGUAACAAACAAAUGAGAACAGGAUCACCAUAGGGUGGGUGUUGAGAAGUGGCUCCUUCUCUCAAAUGUCGGAAUAAUCAUAGAAUCAUAGAAUCAUUAAAGUUGGAAUGACCUCUAAGAUCAUCUAGUCCAACUGUCAACCCAUUAUCACUACGUCCACUUAAAGAAUCAUUACAGAUUGUCUGAGAGUUACUUCCCUGGGAUAAUCCACAGUACAGAAAGAAAAAAAUAUCAUCUUCUUAUGCAGCAGGAGUUCAUGGAAGUAGUAGCAAUUCACCACCAGCAAGCAGACUGUUGGUCCCCACAGCACUCUGUGCCAUGCUAAGGAUGUGUAGAGAGAGACAUAAAAUUUGGGAUGUGUGUCAAUCUGUUCUUCUUCCUUGGAAAAAGAUAGCUGACAGGUAUUCAGUACCAUCUGCUGAUGGUCCUCGUUAUCAUCUUUCUUCCUUUGAUGACUGGGUCCAGAUUUUGGGGCUAACGGUGAAAGGACUGUACUGGAAAUAGUUCCAAAAUAAUGGAGCCACUCCUAAGGAAACUGCUUUUGUGAAAGAGAACAGUUAUGACUCAGCAUGAGGAUUUGUGUUCCUUCAAAUACUUUCAUUUCUUCCUCUUUAGUCCGUUUUCCUGAUAUACCAUCUUGUUGUAAAUCUAUAUGCAUCAUUACCCCCAUUCCCCUCCCACAACCCAAAAAGUUAUACAUCCUCUAGCAAAGUUCAACUACAUUUGAUGGAAUAGUAGAAGUCCACUUCCAUGGGUUACAAGCAUGUUGCUUUUUUUCACACUCAUAGUGUUUCUUUCUUGAUCUUAUAUCUAUUAUAGAAAAAUGCCAUGAUAAGUCUUGCACUCCUAUCAUCCUUUCAAUAGUAGGGUCAAAAAUGAUCCUCAAAAGUUGCAUGUGAGUUACUCAUGAACGUUGGCUUGGUAGAGCUGAGACUUUCAGGGAGUUUCAGUAUUGGCAAAGAACAAAUGCUGACUUGUGAGGUUUGCCCAUACCUCUGGAGAGAGAAUCAAUCACAGUAUAAUGAAGCAUUCAAGCCAUCAGUUGUUACGAAAUAAGACUUCCACCAUAGUCUUUACUCCACUAAAGCACACCACUUUUCAGCUCAUUUAAUCUGAACCAUCACAUCUUUUGAAGUCUGAUUGAGUCAGAAUAAGUCUGACCGUGCUCAUGAAUUUCUGUCAAAGAUCAGGGUUCAAUAAAUUAGUGCAUGUGGAAGAAGAACAAAGAAGACAACUUCAUCCUUAGCUUUUUAUCUCUGCAAUGGUAGAUCAGGAGUAUCAGUGUGGUAUCAGUAACAGUGACAGCUUGUACAUACUUCCUGAGCAUACAGGGGUUGACUUGGACUUGAGAUCAGGUUAUUGUGAUCUUGCUUGCUCCUUUUUCCUUGCUCAGCUCACCUGGUUGUUAGGGCAAAUUCAGAGGACAUAGUACAAGAGAGAAGUCUAGUGACUGCUCAGAGAAUGGUAGAGGUAUCGGUCCCUCAGUCCUUCCUUGUCUCAAAUGUUUGUUUGUUUGUUUGUUUAAUCCACUAUUAAAAAUAAUCAAUAAAAUAAUAACAAUAUUUUAAUGUGUACCUUUUUCGUUUCCUCUUUUCCUCCUUAGUCCUCCAUGAAAGGAAACAUUCUCUUGUCUAUCUUCUAUAUCAACAGAUAAUCAUUCUUACAAGAAAAAACAAUGUGUAAUCAGUUAAAAAUACAAAGGAUUUUUGCCAGAAAUUUGCUUGGAGAAGCUGCUUGCUUAUUUGCUUGAAUAGUCCUUCCAAGACAGGCAUAAUUGCUAGGCAGGGAAUUGACUUCCCAUCCUCGGCCAGAUGAUCAACACUUUUGCCCUAACAGCAUGUUUCUGUCAAUGGCAGAGUUGGCAGCCUCCAGAGCAUGAUGGUUUUCCUUAGCCACAGUGUGACAUUUCUUCUGCAUACCAAUUGAGGAAGCAGGCACACUGCUAUUCCUUUGACGUUCUGUUCCAUAAGUGAAGUUGAAGGGAAGAAAUUCAGUCCCCUCCUUCUGUCUGACUCAUCAUGGUGGAGAAGUUCUGACAUCAGAGUCCAGCCCCCCGGAAACGAAGCGCUGUCGCAGAUGCAGUCUGCCUUUAAAAGUGAGUCAGGAAUGGCUUUGAAAACAAAACAGAAGGAACCAUUUUAUUGUUACACAAAACUUCAGUACACUCACUUAUCAGCUGAGAAGCUCUGGUCUUGGCCUCUUCAGAAGACAGCGGUGAAGGCACCAAGUAUCAUCCUAUGUCUCCAUUGUAGCUAAGCCAUACCCUCUUGGAUACUCUUUGGAACUUGACCUAAAGGACAAAAGAGCUGGACAUCCUCUUGUCUUCCAAAGCACAGAUGAGGACAUCCAGAGGAGAAAGUCCCUUCUGUGCUGCUGGCAUUUUAGGAGGACGAAGGGCACAGAUCCAGCAAGCCAACUGGAUGAUGCUUGUAAGUGUGGUCACCUCCUGGGAAGGCCAGUGCUCAAGACACAUCUGGGAUGCGUGGACAUGAUAAGUGCUACGGCCAGGCACUCUGUUCAGAGGGGUUCUGUGUUAAUAGCUUGCUGCUCAAGUAAAUAGAAGAAACCCUGGAUUAACUGAGGCUCUGAAGACAUAAUAAAAUCCAGAAAUUCUUAUUUGAGUGUCACUCGGGAAAAGCUGUCUUUGAGAAAAAUGUGGUAAUUUUGCACAGGGAAAGGUGUUAAUUAAAACCACAAUGACUCCUGCUAAAGCCACAGUAAGGUACAAGCAGAUGAGAGACACUUCAAGGACAUUUGUUUGCCUCAUUAAUAACACCAUUUGUUGCCUUUAAAGUCA